rnacentral:rRNA from 1 species
AUUCGAGCAACGCAAGACCCUUACCAAAUCUUGACAUCCUCUGACAGCCCUAGAGAUAGGGUUUCCCUUCGGGGCAGAGUGACGGGGGGUGCAUGGUUGUCCUCAGCUCGUGUCGGGAGAUGUUGGGUUAAGCCCCGCAACGAGCGCAACCCUUAAGUUUAGUUGCCAUCAUUAAGUUGGGCACUCUAGACUGACUGCCGGAGACAAACCGGAAGAAGGGGGGGACAACCUCAAAUCAUCAUGCCCCUUAUGAUUUGGGCUACACACGUGCUACAAGGGACGGGUUACAAAGGGCAGCCACCCCGCGAGGCCAAGCAAAUCCCAUAAAACUGUUCUCAGUUCGGAUUGGAGUCUGCAACUCCACCCCAUGAAGCUGGAAUCGCUAGAAAUCGAAAAUCAGCAUGCUACGGAAAAUACUUUCCCGCCUUUUGCACACACCCCCCG